GGGAGUGAACGCACCACAUGGUAAGAUCCCAUGACUCGGAAGCCUCAGAUACUUAAACUCUAAUUUUUGUGUUUUUUCAUUUUUUCAUUUAUUUUCAAAUGUUCUCCGGUCUUCUCUUUCUUCUACCUUCUGUUCCUUUGGAAAGCCUAACUACAGACAUCAUUCAUCCAUCCUCCAACUCACUUCCCUGAUGCCCUGAAGUCUCCGACGCUCCGCGGCCUCCCCAACUCACCUCGCCACGAUCAAAAUUUCACAUCUCCUUUUGUUCAAACUCAAAUGCUUUCUGUUAGAUGAAAAUGCACCCCCUGCUAGGCCCUAACUUUCAACAAAAUCCUCCCCAAGCUUUCGCAAUCACGUGUGGAUGACCACGGAGUUCUUUGGAGAUGCCGACGGCGAACUGUGAGCCCCCCCGGGAAGCGUUCGGGUGUGAGCGAUAGAGGCAGACUCUUAAGGGAGGGCUCAUUCAAACUCUGAAGGACAAACCCCACGUGAAAAUCGAAGUGGCCACUGGGGAAUGGAAGGCUUUUUGAAUGCCUCCAAGUGGUAUUUGAUUGAUGAGUGGGGUGAUAUUGAGGGUCCAUAUGGUGGACGAGGAUUGGAGGGCUUUUGGGAGGCUUCCAGAUGGUAGAUGAGGAAUGGAGGGCUUUUUGGGAUGGUUCCAAGUGGCAGCAUAAGGAUGCUGGUUUGGUUGCGGUGAUCUAGAUGUCAGCAUAGGAGAGGUGGGCUUUUUGGAUGUCUCAGCUUGCCAGGCCCUGAUUGGAGCAUGGAAGGAUUCAACACUAGUUUCCUUUUUUUUUUUUUUUUUGCAUUUUGAUUUUUGUAAUCUUUAUUAUGUAUUUAUUAUUCUUUGUGCAUGCUCCAUGCAAUUUCAGUUUUGAGACAUUCAUUUCUAUAUCAAAUCUACAAUUCCAUUUGGAAAAUUUUAACUGAA